rnacentral:rRNA from 1 species
GACGAACGCUGGCGGCGUGCUUAACACAUGCAAGUCGAACGGAAAGGCCCUGCUUUUGUGGGGUGCUCGAGUGGCGAACGGGUGAGUAACACGUGAGUAACCUGCCCUUGACUUUGGGAUAACUUCAGGAAACUGGGGCUAAUACCGGAUAGGAGCUCCUGCUGCAUGGUGGGGGUUGGAAAGUUUCGGCGGUUGGGGAUGGACUGGCGGCUUAUCAGCUUGUUGGUGGGGUAGUGGCUUACCAAGGCUUUGACGGGUAGCCGGCCUGUGAGGGUGACCGGCCACAUUGGGACUGAGAUACGGCCCAGACUCCUACGGGAGGCAGCAGUGGGGAAUAUUGCACAAUGGGCGGAAGCCUGAUGCAGCAACGCCGCGUGCGGGAUGACGGCCUUCGGGUUGUAAACCGCUUUCGACUGUGACGAAGCGUGAGUGACGGUAAUGGGUAAAGAAGCACCGGCUAACUACGUG